ensembl:snRNA U6 U6 spliceosomal RNA
GUGCUUGCUUCAGCAGCAUAUAUACUAAAAUUGAAACAAUAUAGAGAAGAUUAGCACGGCCCCUGCACAAGGAUGACUCACAAAUUCACGAAGCGUUCCAUAUUAAG